UGAAUUAGGGAAUCCAUCGACCUGUCAAAGUUAAAUCACGUGAUCUUUGGUUGGCACACAAAACCGUUCUUAACCUAAACUCAAUGUAAUUUUUGAUUUUUCGUAUUUGUUUUUCGUCGUGAUUUUUUAGCUAAUUUAGUAUUAAAAGACAUUCAUUAGAUUAAUUAGUUUAUAAACUUUACGUUUUUGGUGAUUUUGGCCCGGUCUUUUCACCUCCGAAUAAAUAUGCUCUUAUCUGGCAGUUAGCUAUCUGGAGGAUAAAUAUUUAUUCGCCAGAUAAAAUGUACCCGUCUUUUCACGUCAAUUUAUGUUCCAGUUAGUUAUCCGGUAGAUAAGCUUAAAAGUAAGUUUGGAUUCCGAACACACCUGACUUUUAUGUUUAUUUUUAUAAUUUCAGCAUGAUUUCAGCUUUAACUUAACCUAACAUAAUUAGAUUCAAAGUAUUUCAAAGAUGAUUUUAUCGAUUUUAUUUCCAUUUUGGAAGAAGGAAUGAAGGAAAUAAGGAAAACAUUGAUUAUGCUGAAAUAGUUUACUGGAGAGCUUGAACAAGAGGUAAAUCCAUUUUAAAUUAGAGGAAAACUGUUGAUUUGUAUGUAAAAUAGAAGACAAAGACAAGUUUAAAUAAAGACAAGCUAGCUAAUGAAACAGAUGCAGUGAUAUGACAAACACCUAGAAGAUGGAAUCCUGUGUUCUCAAAGAAAAAGCUAGUUCCAGAAAUAAGCUACCAAUAAUAAACUAGAGAAUGUAUUACAAGAAAGAACAACGCUAAUACCCAACAUAGCUCAAUUGCUUCAGAUAGAAAAAGAGGAGGAAAGGGUAGAACACAAGCGUGCCAGAGAAAAUUAAAGGGCAGAAGAGACACAAAAAUUCAUUGAUUUAUUAAAUUUAAUAAUUAAAUUAUACAAAGGACAAUUAAAUAAAGAAUAAAAAAUUA